rnacentral:rRNA from 1 species
CAGCAACCCCGCGUGAGGGAUGACGGCCUUCGGGUUGUAAACCUCUUUUAGCAGGGAAGAAGCGAAAGUGACGGUACCUGCAGAAAAAGCGCCGGCUAACUACGUGCCAGCAGCCGCGGUAAUACGUAGGGCGCAAGCGUUAUCCGGAAUUAUUGGGCGUAAAGAGCUCGUAGGCGGUCUGUCGCGUCUGCUGUGAAAACCCGAGGCUCAACCUCGGGCCUGCAGUGGGUACGGGCAGACUAGAGUGCGGUAGGGGAGAUUGGAAUUCCUGGUGUAGCGGUGGAAUGCGCAGAUAUCAGGAGGAACACCGAUGGCGAAGGCAGAUCUCUGGGCCGUAACUGACGCUGAGGAGCGAAAGGGUGGGGAGCAAACAGGCUUAGAUACCCUGGUAGUCCACCCCGUAAACGUUGGGAACUAGUUGUGGGGUCCAUUCCACGGAUUCCGUGACGCAGCUAACGCAUUAAGUUCCCCGCCUGGGGAGUACGGCCGCAAGGCUAAAACUCAAAGGAAUUGACGGGGACCCGCACAAGCGGCGGAGCAUGCGGAUUAAUUCGAUGCAACGCGAAGAACCUUACCAAGGCUUGACAUAUAGAGGAAACGUCUGGAAACAGUCGCCCCGCAAGGUCUCUAUACAGGUGGUGCAUGGUUGUCGUCAGCUCGUGUCGUGAGAUGUUGGGUUAAGUCCCGCAACGAGCGCAACCCUCGUUCUAUGUUGCCAGCACGUAAUGGUGGGAACUCAUGGGAUACUGCCGGGGUCAACUCGGAGGAAGGUGGGGAUGACGUCAAAUCAUCAUGCCCCUUAUGUCUUGGGCUUCACGCAUGCUACAAUGGCCGGUACAAAGGGCUGCAAUACCGUGAGGUGGAGCGAAUCCCAAAAAGCCGGUCCCAGUUCGGAUUGAGGUCUGCAACUCGACCUCAUGAAGUCGGAGUCGCUAGUAAUCGCAGAUCAGCAACGCUGCGGUGAAUACGUUCCCGGGUCUUGUACACACCGCCCGUCAAGUCAUGAAAGUCGGUAACACCUGAAGCAAGGUGGCCCAACCCUUGUGGAGGGAGCCGUCGAAGGUGGGAUCGGUAAUUAGGAC